ACAGAAGGGUGCGGUUGGGAAGGUGUUCUCCUCUUAGAUGAGCUUAAAGAGCCCAGCAUUUGAUAAAAAUGAGAAUAUAUCGCCUCAAGCAGAAGCAGAUGAAGAUAUGGGAGAUGAAGUAGACAGUAUGUUGGAUAAAUCUGAAGUAAACAACCCAGCAAUUGGUAAAGAUGAAAAUAUAUCGCCUCAAGUAAAAGGACAUGAAGACAGGGGACAUGAAAUAGGCAGUAUGUUGGAUAAAUCUGGAGGUCUCUGCUAAGAAAAACUGAGAACUUCACUGUAAGUGCAAGAGUUUGAACAGACUGGCUCCUAGCAGAAAUCAGGAAGGCCAAGGAAAUGGAGACCCUGAAAGUAUUCUUGGGGCCUGGGGAUGUGAGGUGUGAGUAAACUGGACUUCACUUAGUGGAUGAAACAGACAAGAACCUCUUCUGUGCAACUGCUUCCCACCAGGAAUUUAUUAAAAAGAAACUGAAGACC
rnacentral:lncRNA from 1 species